UGGGGAAUCUUCCGCAAUGGACGAAAGUCUGACGGAGCAACGCCGCGUGAGUGAAGAAGGUUUUCGGAUCGUAAAACUCUGUCUUUUGGGGCGAACGUGAGUAUGGUGAACAAUCAUAGUCAGUGACGGUACCAAAGGAGGAAGCCACGGCUAACUACGUGCCAGCAGCCGCGGUAAUACGUAGGUGGCAAGCGUUGUCCGGAAUUAUUGGGCGUAAAGAGCGCGUAGGCGGGAUAGUCAGUCUGUUGUAAAGUGCGGGGCUCAACCCCGUGAUCGCAAUGGAAACAGCUAUUCUUGAGUGCAGGAGAGGAAAGUGGAAUUCCCAGUGUAGCGGUGAAAUGCGUAGAUAUUGGGAGGAACACCAGUGGCGAAGGCGACUUUCUGGACUGUGUCUGACGCUGAGGCGCGAAAGCCAGGGGGAGCGAACGGGAUUAGAUACCCCGGUAGUCCUGGCCGUAAACGAUGGGUACUAGGUGUGGGAGGUAUCGACCCCUUCCGUGCCGGAGUUAACGCAAUAAGUACCCCGCCUGGGGGAGUACGGUCGCAAGACUGAAACUCAAAUGAAUUGACGGGGGUCAUAGCUGUUUCCUG
rnacentral:rRNA from 1 species